UGCUUCCUCCUUUCCGGGGUGCAGAGGUCCAAGGCGCGGGUGGAGGCUGCAGGGGGCCCCCAUCCUCCGUGGAGGCCGAGGAUCUGCGGAGGCAGGGGUGGCGCACGGGCGCGCCGGCGGCUUCUCGGUACGAGCGAGCGAGCGAGUGCAGUGUGACAGGAAAUUUCAACACAGGUUUCCUUUUCCACCUCACUCAAGUCCCCAACUGCGGUCGCCGGGCUCGCUGUCGCUGGGAGGUGGACUUUGCAUAAUUUGCAUUUGGAGAGGGCGGCGCGGGACGCAUGGCCGGCGAGUGCACGGCUGCUGCUGCUGCCGAGAGCCAGGGGCGCUUCCCGGGGACCUGGGUGCCGACACGGGCUGACUCAGAGGCACUUGAGGGGGUCUGGCGACGGGCUGGCUUCGGGAGUCCAGCGCUCCGAGGCUGGUUGGGGACGCUGUCUCGGAUCCCACUUUCCCGCCCGAGACCCUGCCACAGGGAGCUGUGACUCUGGCCGCCACAGGUGCAGGUAAGCCGCCUUGUCCUCACUUGUACGCCUCGGCAGGGGACACGAGAGGCUUGCUGGGAGAGAGCGAGGGUCCAGCAGGGAAUUGGGACAUGCACAGGUCACUGACAGGCUCCCCUCGUGGAGGCACAGAUGCGAAGAGAGCCAAACCUCAUCAGCGCGCUUUGCAAAGUCGCAGCCCAAGUUCCCCAGUUAUUCCGCUUAGAGGGGACCCCCAGAGAGGGUCCUGAGAGAGGUGGCCCCUGGGUCCCCAGCCAGCAGGGCACCAACAGGCCCGUGGUGGGCGCUGGCUCCGAAAACCCGGGUUCCCUGCGAGUUUUAAUCAGAGCAAAGAGCGCGCGCGCGCGCGCGCGCGCGCGGCCCAACCGAAUCCACUGAGCUUCCGAAAUGUGAGUUUCAGGCGACACAAACAAGACACCCCCCCCCAACCGCCGUUGGGGUCACAUUCUAUAAAGAGAAACCACAGUCCCGAGGUUCUGUUUUUAAAGUCAAAAAGGGGAUUUUUGGGUUUCUUUUCUUCUUCUUUUUGUUUUGCUCCGCGGUCCUGUGUGUGUGGUUUGGUGCCCUGUGAGCAAUCAUAAGAGGGGUCCUCGGUCAAAGGCGCCCCCGAGUGAGUGGCGGAAGCCACAGGGUGUGGGGGGGAAGGGCACCCUGAGUGAUCCUGUCAAUCUUUCUGCUGGUCUCUGGGUCUCUCCUCGUCGCGACUCAGCCGCUCAGGAGGCUGGGGCAGGAGGAUCACACGUUGGAGGCCAGCCUCCGUAACUUAGUGACAGUCUCAUCAGCUGAGCAAGACUUGGUCUUCGUCCCAAGGAAAAGAGAUCAGUAGGUCAGGGAGGUGACUUGUUGUCCUAGGGAAAGGACCGAGGUGUUCCCUAACGGAUGAGGAACCGGGGUGCCCAUACAGAAUCCCCGGGGCUGACUGCUGGCCUCCCACUUGGCUUGGAGUGGGCGGUACUAGACAUCAGCCUCAUUGUUUCAGAACCUUUCCGCUUUGGGAGGCGGACACCCGCUGGUGGACACCCGCUGGACAAACCCAGGCCAGUGCCCGCGCUCCUGGACAGAGCUCUGGAUGCGCCCCGGGAGGCACCCUGGGGACCCACGUGACCCCAAGGGUGCAAUACCGCCCUGGGUCCAGGUUUCUGGCUGCUUCUUGCCCCGCCGUCCAGGGGACUGAGAGGCCCCGGGAAGGGAAGAGGGACCGUCUGACCCUCUGGGGACCGCCCACCCGCACGGGCCCUACCCAAGUUCUGAUUCUGUCCUAGGGUUGGUGGGCGGAGAAGCAGCGAGAGGCUAGUGACCGAGCUGAGGGAGGGUGGCCCUGUCCUCCGAGACCGGGGGCCUUGGUCCGCUCCCGCCCGCUCCCCGGGCGCAUCCCCCCAGGGCGCGCGCCGCCUCGGGAGCUCCGGGGUCAAGAAGCCCCUCCCCAGGCACGGCCUGUGCCGCUCCAGCGCCCCCUCGCCAAGCGCCACCUCCCCAGGAGCGCCCUUCCCCCAGAAACCCCCUCCCCCGUGAGGCCCCGCACCAGGCGACCCCCUGUCCACGUGACCCCUCCCCAAGUGCGCCCCCUCGCCAAGCGCCACCUCCCCAGGGGCGCCCUUCCCCCAGCAACCCCCUCCCCCGUGAGGCCCCGCACCAGGCGACCCCCUGUCCACGUGACCCCUCCCCAAGUGCGCCCCCUCGCCAAGCGCCACCUCCCCAGGGGCGCCCUGCCCCUUGCAAACCCUCCCCAAGUGAUCCCCUCCCCAGGCGCGCCCCCUCCCCAGGCGCGCCACCUCCCCAGGGGUGCCCUUCCCCCAGCAACCCCCUCCCACCCCCCGUGACCUCCUCCCCAGGCAACCCCCUGCCCCAGGUGACCCCUUCCCAGUCCCCAGGCCCGUCCCUUCCUGGAGCUCCGCCCACCUCCCCAGGUGGCCCUCUCCCCAGGGCGCCCCCUCCCUAGGCCGCCCCUCGCGCACCAGCCCUCGGGGUCCUGCCCAGCUCCUCUCGGCCCCUGGUGGCGGCGGGCGGCGCUGCAGGUGGCACGAGGAGCCCAGCC
rnacentral:lncRNA from 1 species